rnacentral:rRNA from 1 species
AUUGAACGCUGGCGGCAGGCCUAACACAUGCAAGUCGAACGAGUGGCGGACGGGUGAGUAAUGUCUGGGAAACUGCCUGAUGGAGGGGGAUAACUACUGGAAACGGUAGCUAAUACCGCAUACCAUCAUAAGUCCCCAGAUGGGAUGUGCUAGUUGGUGGGGUAACGGCUCACCAAGGCGACGAUCCCGAGCUGGUCUGAGAGGAUGCCCAGACAAACUGGAACUGUGAAACGGUCCAGACUCCUACGGGAGGCAACAGUGGGGAAUAUUGCACAAUGGGCGCAAGCCUGAUGCAGCCAUGCCGCGUGUAUGAAGAAGGCCUUCGGGUUGUAAAGUACUUUCAGCGGGGAGGCGUUACCCGCAGAAGAAGCACCGGCUAACUCCGUGCCAGCAGCCGCGGUAAUAC